UGGGGAAUAUUGGGCAAUGGGCGAAAGCCUGACCCAGCAACGCCGCGUGAGUGAUGAAGGCCUUCGGGUUGUAAAACUCUUUGGACAGGGACGAAGAAAGUGACGGUACCUAACCAGAAAGCCACGGCUAACUACGUGCCAGCAGCCGCGGUAAUACGUAGGUGGCAAGCGUUGUCCGGAAUUAUUGGGCGUAAAGCGCGCGCAGGUGGUUUAGAAAGUCUGAUGUGAAAGCCCACGGCUCAACCGUGGAGGGUCAUUGGAAACUAAUAAACUUGAGUGCAGGAGAGAAAAGUGGAAUUCCUAGUGUAGCGGUGAAAUGCGUAGAGAUUAGGAGGAACACCGGUGGCGAAAGCGGCUUUUUGGCCUGCAACUGACACUGAGGCGCGAAAGCGGGGGGAGCAAACAGG
rnacentral:rRNA from 1 species